UGACGGCAACAACAGAUAGUUAUAAUAGUGGCUGAAAACUGAGACACUGUUCCGUUUCAAUUCACUGAUACCACUAAUGGCUUCUUAGCAGCUCCAUGAAAUCAAGCAGCUGUCAUGUCGAUGCAUCAGCAGCGAGAGGAGGGAGAGCCAUCCCCAUAAGGACAGAGGCACCGCGCCUUCAUGUUUGGCUAAACAUCUGCUCCUCUGCACUCCAGCUUUGCAGCAAUAAACGGGCAAACAAAAGAGGACAUGGGGGAAGAAAGUGCAACUAACUAUGAGGGACACAGCAAAUGCAAUGGCAUAUAAUCACACCUUUUUGUGAGACGGGUGACAGAAAUUAAACAAGGUCACCGUUUUUUCGAGUCUCCCGACGCCAACCAGUGUUUUGGCUUCAGUCAGAGGUGAUUAAAACGGUGUGUGUGCGAUGGCGAGAGAUGCAUGUGCGAGUGUGCAUGUCUUAAAUAUGUCCGACAGGGAAUCUAUCAUCCAUUCAACUCACGUGUAAACAACACAAGUACACCAAUAAAGGUUUCUUUAAAGGGCAAUAAA